UCACCUGAGCUCCCGUGCCUG
rnacentral:miRNA from 1 species